rnacentral:tRNA from 1 species
GGAGAGAUGGCUGAGUGGU